rnacentral:snRNA from 1 species
GCAUCCCUUGAUGGCAUGCAAUAAAAUUGGAGCAAUAUAGAGAAUAUUAGCAUGGCCCCUAUGCAAGGAUGAGAUGCACAGAAAGAAAAUAAAAACAGAAACCU